CUCUCUCUCUGCCUGCCUCUCUGCCUACUUGUGAUCUCUGUCUGUCAAAUAAAUAAAUAAAAUCUUUAAAAAAUAAAAAAAAAUAAAAAAAUAAAAAAAUAAAAUGCCUUAAAAAUACAGAAAAUAAGAAAAUAUAGUCAAUAUAGACAGAAAUUUCAUUUCUAAGAAACUACUAAAAAAUAUGUUUCUUGGGGCAGUGGGCUAAAGCCUUUGCCUUCAGCUCAGGUCAUGAUCCCAGGGUCCUGGGAUCGAGGCCCACAUUGGGCUCUCUGCUCAGCAGGGAGACUGCUUCCCUGCCCCUGCUCUCUGCUUGCCUCUCUACCUACUUGUGAUCUCUGUCUGUCAAAUAAAUAAAUAAAAUCUUUUUUAAAAAAUAUGUUUCUUGAGGUACCUGGGUGAUACAGUUAGUUAAGCAUCUGACUCUUGGUUUUGGCUCAGGUUUUGAUCUCAGGGUCUUAAGAUCCAAGCCCUAUUUUGGGCUCUGCACUCAGCAGGGAGUCUGCUGGAGAUUCUCUCUCUCCCUCUGCCCCUCCUCUUUCUCUUUCUAAAAUAAAUAAAUAAACCUUUAAAUAAUAUAUGUGUGUGUGUGUGUAUGUGUGUGUGUGUGUAUAUAUAUGUGUGUGUUUCUCAUUUCCCUAACCCACCUACUCUCCUGUUCUGCAGGGGACUUUCAUAUCAAUUUUUCUUGCUCUAGAAAACCCCCAACAUGAUUACCUCAGGCUUGCCUUGAGGGGUGGCCUUGUUUCCUCCCUAACUGGCAAAAUCCAAGCAGUCAAAACAGAGUAUCUGCAUCCCCCUCCCCAUCCACCUGCAACCUCACCCUCCUUCUUUGCUUUCCUUUCUUUCUAGGCCGAGGAUGGCCCCAGCCAGUGCACCACCGUCCAUCUCCACCGACUGGCACAAGCACAGGCACAGGCAGGGGGGAGAGUCGUCCACCUGACCUCAGCAAGAGCAGCCGGAAUCUCAGAGUACAUCCGACACCGGCGAGCGCUGAGACCUGGAAUGCAGGUUGGGGGAAUGGCGUUCUCAGUCUCUAACACCCUCUCAGCACGGCACCGCACACCCUGACACCAUCCGUGCAACACCUGAGUCACCAAACUAAAGCUGCUGUCCUUGCGGCCACAGAGCUGGCAGGUGCUGCUAGACCGAGUCAGGGAUCCUGUGAUCUGGGCAGCAUCCCUACAGAGUGAGAGCCGGGCUUUGGCAAAGGACCAGAGGCAGAGGAGGCAAAUAGAGUUGGGGAUUCC
rnacentral:lncRNA from 1 species